CCAUCUCAGGAUUAAUCUGUCAGAGAUGACACCAUGCAGCAUAUGUUUCCUGUUCCCAUAUUUCAUGUUCCUGAGCCUCUGGCCGGGGGGGUCGAGCAGAAAAAAGGAUAAAUCCUGCCUCAAAGCAUCGGUCAGCUUUAAUAGGCUUAUAGCGGCAACCUUUCUCAGGAACUCAGACGCGAGUCGAGCUCAGGACACCCAAACAGGCAUCGGCAGCGGCCAUUGUUGGACGUGUUUGAGGUAUUUGAGCAGCAAGGAUGUGAUGCCAGAGCCGGAGUUCAGCUGGGUGAGAUCACCGGCACAAACCGGCUGCUGACAUCACGCUCUGCCAACCCCGUGGGGGAGGAAGGGGGAGGAGGGGAGGAAACAUCCUGACACAGUCCUGCUUCCACAGAUACCAGCGCUGCAUUCAGGGCACGUGGGAACAACCGUUGCUGCAGCUACAACACGUUUUCUUUCUACAGGAUAACAUGCAUCAUACAUGUCCAGAAAAACACGGGAUAUUUCAGUGUUUUAGACCGUUUGUGUGACAAAAAAACAGCAUGUGAAGACACGAUUCUCUGACAGUUAACUGGUAAAAUAAAUAUUUUGGAUGUAAAAACAGUCAGCUGCAGCUCUAGAACAGAAGGAGCAGAGAACUGAGGUUUGGAUCCAAGUCACUGAUUACACAUUUUAUGGUCCUUUCAGGUCUCUGUUUGGUCAACAUGAGUCUGUUUCUCGUUUGGCUUCUUCUUAUGACUUCAGAUGAAUUUUAAAUUGAGACUUGACUCAAGCUCAUGAAACCAAAACAACUGACGUUUCUACUCCAUGAAAGAAAUCAAGUUUAAUCAAUCACUUUGUGUCACUUUCUGGUCACUUCUUUUCCAUUUCUGGUCAUUUUUUUCUGUUUCAAGUCAUUUUGUGGUCUUUUUGUGAUUGUUCCUGGUAAUUAUUUUUGUCUGUUUUUGCUCAAUUUUUUCUGGUCAUUUUUUUUGUCCGUUUCUGGUCAUUUUGUGUCACUUUGUCGUCAUUUAAAGUCAACUUGUGGUCAUUUUGCGUCACUUUGUUGUCAUUUUUGGCUGUUUCUGGUAAUUUUUUCUGUUUCUGGUCAUUUUUGUCCAUUUCUGGUUGUUUUUUUUUCUCUGUUUCUGGUCAUCUUUGUCUAUUUCUGGUCUUUUUUUGUCUGUUUCUGGUCAUUUUUUCCAUUUCUGGUCGUUUUUUUCUCCGUUUCUGGUCAUUUUUGUCCACUUCUGGUCUUUUUUUGUCCACUUCUGGUCAUUUUUUCUCAGCUUCUAGUCAUUUUAUGUCUGUUUCUGGUCAUCUUUGUCUGUUUCUGGUCAUCUUUACACACCACUGCAGCCACCAGCGGUGACUCACAGCGAACUCAGACUGUGAGCAACACGACCAGCCGACCGGCGGCCGGUGAGGAAACACCGGCUCGUCACCACAGCGUGACUUUCUGUCCUGGAAAACAGCUUCGGCAGCAGCUCAGCCGACACCUCGCAGCCGUCUGACAGCAACAAGCAGCGGAACAACAGCUGAACUCCAACGUGGAAGAAACAUUGAGUCAUGUCAGCCAGUUUCUGACUUCUACGUCACUCAGAGAAUGACUUCCCCACAGGACGGGAAUAUUCACGCUCCGUACAGCAUUUGUGAGACUUUAUUCUGGAUGUCUGUAUCAGUGACCUCCACUGGUUCUAAUUAAACAUCUAAACAGCAAACAGACAUGAAAUCUGUCUGUGAACAGAACUUUGAUGAAAAAAUGCAGAAAAUUCCUCCAAAUUUGGUGAAUCCAGCAUAAUACAGAUGAGAGUAAAUACUGAGCUGAUUCAGAGCUUUUAUAACCUCAUUAUCAGAGACUGAGACAAAACAAAGCACUGUGAAACAACAAUCCUUUAAUUCAGACGUGGAAAGUAACCAAGAGCACCGCCUCUGUGGUAAAUCUGUGUCAUUGUCAAGUAUUUUAGGGAAUUUUUGGGUCAUUUUGUAAUUUUUUUCUGGUCAUUUUUGUGUAUUUGAGCUCACUUUGCGUCUUUUUGAGGUGAUUCUGUAAACCAUGUUGGUCAUUUUAAGAAUAUUUCUGGUCAUUUUGAGACUUUUUUGGGUCCUUCUUUACCCAUUUAUCACCAUUAGAUGUAAUUUUGAGGUCAUUUUGUGACUCUUUGUGGUCAUUUUCAGUCUUUUGUAGCCAUUUUGUGAAUCUUUUGGAUCAUUUUAUGAUUUCUUAGGCCAUUUUGUGAUUCAUAGGUCAUCUUGUGUCAUUUUUGGGUAUUUUUAUAAACGUCUGUGGUCAUUUGAGAAUUUUUUUUGUGUAAUUUAAAGACUUUUUGGGUCAUUCUUUGCCUAUUUAUCAUCAUUUUAUGUCAUUUUGAGUAAUUUUGUGAUUCGUUGGUCAUUUUGUGCCAAUUUCAGGUAUUUUUUUGUCACUCUGAGGCAAUUUUGAGAUUCUUUCAGGUCAUUUUGUCUUCUUGAGGUCAUUUUGUGAUUCUGUGGUCAUUUCAUGUCACUUUCAAGUAACUUUGUGACCCGCUGUGGUCUUUUUGUGUCUUUAUGUCAUAAUUUUCUGUUAUUUUUAAGCAUUUUUGCGACUCUUUGUGGUAAUUUUGAGACUCUCUUGGGUCAUUCUUUAUCUCUUUAUCGUCAUCAUAUGUCUUGUUAAAGUCAUUUUGUGAUUCUGCGGUCAUCUGGUGUCACUUUCAGGUAACUUUGUGACUCUUCGUGGUCUUUAUGUCAUAACUUUGUGUCACUUUGAGGCAGUUUUGCGACUCUUUGUGGUAGAUUACUGUUCGUCUGGUGUAGUUUGAAAUAAAUUAAGGAUAAUUUAAAGGA